UGCAAGUCGAGCGGAUGAAGGGAGCUUGCUCCUGGAUUCAGCGGCGGACGGGUGAGUAAUGCCUAGGAAUCUGCCUGGUAGUGGGGGAUAACGUCCGGAAACGGGCGCUAAUACCGCAUACGUCCUGAGGGAGAAAGUGGGGGAUCUUCGGACCUCACGCUAUCAGAUGAGCCUAGGUCGGAUUAGCUAGUUGGUGGGGUAAAGGCCUACCAAGGCGACGAUCCGUAACUGGUCUGAGAGGAUGAUCAGUCACACUGGAACUGAGACACGGUCCAGACUCCUACGGGAGGCAGCAGUGGGGAAUAUUGGACAAUGGGCGAAAGCCUGAUCCAGCCAUGCCGCGUGUGUGAAGAAGGUCUUCGGAUUGUAAAGCACUUUAAGUUGGGAGGAAGGGCAGUAAGUUAAUACCUUGCUGUUUUGACGUUACCAACAGAAUAAGCACCGGCUAACUACGUG
rnacentral:rRNA from 1 species